GACGAACGCUGGCGGCGUGCUUAACACAUGCAAGUCGAACGAAGUGGCGAACGGGUGAGUAACGCGUAAUAAACCUGCCCUUCAGAGGGGGACAACAGUUGGAAACGACUGAUAAUACCGCAUAAUGAAGGAGGGGUUUGCGUGUGAGUAGCUAGGUGGAGGGGUAACGGCCCACCAAGGCGAUGAGCAGUAGACGGUCUGAGAGGAUGAACGGCCACAUUGGGACUGAGACACGGCCCAGACUCCUACGGGAGGCAGCAGUGGGGAAUCUUGGGCAAUGGACGAAAGUCUGACCGAGCAACGCCGCGUGAGUGAAGAAGGUUUUCGGAUCGUAAAACUCUGUUGUUAGAGAAGCGGUAUCUAACCAGAAAGCCACGGCUAACUACGUGCCAGCAGCCGCGGUAAUUC
rnacentral:rRNA from 1 species